rnacentral:tRNA from 1 species
GUCUUUGUAGUAUACUGAUUACUUUGGUCUUGUAAACCAAGAAUGGAGGAUCCCGUCUCCCUAAGACU